rnacentral:rRNA from 1 species
ACGCUCGACACCUACGGGAGGCAGCAGUGGGGAAUAUUGCACAAUGGGGGAAACCCUGAUGCAGCGACGCCGCGUGAGCGAAGAAGUAUUUCGGUAUGUAAAGCUCUAUCAGCAGGGAANAUAAUGACGGUACCUGACUAAGAAGCUCCGGCUAAAUACGUGCCAGCAGCCGUGGUAAUCUGAGCGGGCUGGCAAGGC